CCGUGCUAAGCGGGGAGGUAGCGGUGCCCUGUACUCGCAAUCCGCUCUAGCGAGGCCGAAUCCCUUUCCGAGGUUAGUUGACUGCAGGGUCUGCCCUCAAGUAAGUGGUGUUGACGUCUGGGUCCUGCGCAAUGGAAAUCCAUGAACCAUGUCAGGUCCGGAAGGAAGCAGCAUUAAGUGGAAGCUUUCAUGUGCCGCGGGACAGCCUGGGCCGAGCUAACUGCUUGAGUAACGCUUGUGGCCGCUAAUCGACGAAAGGUGCACGG
rfam:Bacillus sp. SJS contig_29, whole genome shotgun sequence.